rnacentral:rRNA from 1 species
GGCGGCAGGCCUAACACAUGCAAGUCGAACGGUAGGUUAAAAGCUUGCUUUUAACACGAGUGGCGCACGGGUGCGUAACCCGUAUGCAAUCUACCCUAUUCUGGAGAAUAGCCCUUAGAAAUGAGGAUUAAUACUCCAUAGUAUCACAAUUUCGCAUGUUAUUGUGAUUAAAGCUUCGGCGGAAUAGGAUGAGCAUGCGUCCCAUUAGAUAGUUGGUGAGGUAAUGGCUCACCAAGUCUGCGAUGGGUAGGGGGCCUGAGAGGGUUAUCCCCCACACUGGUACUGAGACACGGACCAGACUCCUACGGGAGGCAGCAGUGAGGAAUAUUGGUCAAUGGACGAAAGUCUGAACCAGCCAUGCCGCGUGCAGGAUGACUGCCCUAUGGGUUGUAAACUGCUUUUAUAUAGGAAGAAACCCCCUUACGUGUAAGGGGCUGACGGUACUAUAAGAAUAAGGACCGGCUAACUCCGUGCCAGCAGCCGCGGUAAUACGGAGGGUCCAAGCGUUAUCCGGAUUUAUUGGGUUUAAAGGGUACGUAGGCGGAAUUUUAAGUCAGUAGUGAAAGCCCAUCGCUUAACGAUGGAACUGCUAUUGAUACUGGAAUUCUUGAAUAUAGUUGAAGUUGGCGGAAUACGGCAUGUAGCGGUGAAAUGCAUAGAUAUGCCGUGGAACACCGAUCGCGAAGGCAGCUAACUAAGCUAUUAUUGACGCUGAGGUACGAAAGCGUGGGGAGCGAACAGGAUUAGAUACCCUGGUAGUCCACGCCGUAAACUAUGAUUAC